rnacentral:rRNA from 1 species
AGGCUUAACACAUGCAAGUCGAGCGGGUGUAGCAAUACAUCAGCGGCAGACGGGUGAGUAACGCGUGGGAACGUACCUUUUGGUUCGGAACAACACAGGGAAACUUGUGCUAAUACCGGAUAAGCCCUUACGGGGAAAGAUUUAUCGCCGAAAGAUCGGCCCGCGUCUGAUUAGCUAGUUGGUAGGGUAAUGGCCUACCAAGGCGACGAUCAGUAGCUGGUCUGAGAGGAUGAUCAGCCACAUUGGGACUGAGACACGGCCCAA